GACGAACGCUGGCGGCGUGCUUAACACAAUGCAAGUCGAGCGGUAAGGCCCUUUCGGGGGUACACGAGCGGCGAACGGGUGAGUAACACGUGGGUGACCUGCCCUCAGCUCUGGGAUAAGCCGUGGGAAACUGGGUCUAAUACUGGAUAUGACUCCGACGGUGCAUGUCGUGGGGUGGAAAGCCUUGUGCGGCUGAGGAUGGGCCCGCGGCCUAUCAGCUUGUUGGUGGGGUGANGGCCUACCAAGGCGACGACGGGUAGCCGGCCUGAGAGGGCGACCGGCC
rnacentral:rRNA from 1 species